UUUUUACUCAUAAUAUUUAAUUGAAUAUACUUAUUUCAAAGUGUUUUAUUUCUUUAUGUAUUGUUUUAUAUACUUGAAGAGUGUAUUAUCUUAACUCUUUAUGAGACACAAAGUGAUGGUACUUGAACUUGAUAGAUUUUAAGUGUAACAUGCAUUUUCAGUAGGUUUGUCAUUAGACUUUAUUGUUAAAGUUUUCAGAAUUGUUGAUAUUUUACUGUUUAACUAGAAUACAAUGGUAUAGUUCAUACAGUAUUGUACCCUGUAUGGUUACAAGUUGAAACACAUUGCUAUGUAACCAAGGGCUGGAAUUGUACAUAUCUAUUGAAUUCUUUGUCUUUUGUAGUGCAAACUAACUAAAAUAUAUAUUAAUUAUUGUUUAAGUAUAUUUACUUUAGAGGAAUUUUAAAGAUGUAUAUAUAUACAUAUAUUCAAAAUUAUAUGGGAUUUGUACCUUGCUCAUUAAUUAUAAGUCUCUGAAUAUGUAGUUGUUUUUUUAACAGCAGAAUUAUAUCACUAGCUUAAAAGAGUUGACUUGUACUGGCUGCAAGAGAAAAAAAUUUGGGUUGGUUGGCAUUGAGAUGACAAGAAUGAAAUACUAUAACAAAGUUGUUGUUUUAAUUAAAACUACAUUAUUAAAAUAUUUAUUCAAAAGACAGCUGCAGUUCUGGACUCUGGAACUAAACUUUUAAACAUUUGUGGUUCUUGGAAUAUUAUCACAAAAGUGUUUUUUUGUUUUUAAUCCUAGGUUUAGAUUACAAUUUACCUUUAUUGUCUAGCCCAGACUGAGACUAACUAGUUAUUUAGUACAAGUUCUUUGUAAAUGUUAGUUUUCACUAUAUAAUUUGCAUAAUAUUUAAAGUUUUAAUCUCUCUGACAAAACUUCAGCACAUUCUCUUUACCUCAUUCCUCUUAUUUCUUUAAAACAUUCCAUUAAUUUUCAAUUCCUCGAACAUAUAAAAUGUCAGAUGUAUGUUAGUUUCAUUAUACAGAUCACACUAGUGAGUAUUUUCAAGUGUCUUAUUGAACUAUUGUUGUUUUUUUUCUUGCUGGUAAUAAGUAUCAUCAAGAAAUAUGUUAAACAAAACGUUGGUAUAUUUCUGAUGGGCUUAUUGAAGUUAAUGAAGACUUGCACUCAGUAGAUUAAAAUAUUACCAAAACAAACCACAGCAGUUGCAUGAAAUUCAUUAAAAUCUUUGAAUAUUGCAAUCCUUCAUCUAAGUUUCUUUUUUAAAUAAAAUAAUAGUUUUUGUGUAUGUAGAGAUAUUGAAAAAACAACACAAGAAGAAUUCUUAUUAUUUUUCAAAGUAUGUGUCAUUUAUGUUCUCUUACUUGUAAUGAAGUGUAUAAAGUUCUAAAAAGUUAUGAAAAUAUUAAAAACAAAGCAGUAUUUGUUUUUCUUAUAAAACCGUUUGUGUAAUCUAUCAUCAAAACAAGCAAUAUGCUCAGUGAAAAUUAGAAAUAAUGUCAACCAUAGUUAAAGUUCUACUAGAAACUUCCAACUAUUAAACAGGGAGACGUACUUCUCUAGAUGUACUUUCAAACAUAGUGAAAACUAUUAUAUUUAAACAAUGAAAUGUUUUUGUAGGAUAGAAAGUAAGAAAAAUCAUGUCUAAUAGGGUAAUAUAUAUAUAUACAUGUUUGAAAUUAUAAAUGAUUUUCAACAUUAUUUCUUAAUCUGUUUUAAUUUACUGGACAUGGUUUGGAUGAAUUGAGAACCUUAUAUGUAGAUCAUGUUACUGUCUACCAUACAAAGCUGUAUACAGUUUUACAAAGAAAUAUUACAAAUUUGUUAAAUUUUCAGUGGUCAAAACUUCAUUACUUAGUAAGAAAAGUUAAUAGUAUUAGCCUGUAUUUCUUACUCUCACACUAAUUAAGUCGAUGAGACGUAAGUAUUAUAAAGUGCCGUAAAGUUGGUGUGAAGUAUAAAAUAGUUAUUGUAUUUUUCCUGAUUUCCUAUGUGUAAGACUUUUUGAGAUUUCUUAACUUCUCAUAAAUGUGUUGAACUGUAACAAUGUAGCUCCUACUCAUUAUUUAAAAAGGCUUGUCGUCAGUAAACCCUCGUAGUGUUCUAUAUUAGAACUUAGCUGAGGUGGAUUUGGAAUUUUGAAACAUAAACUAUUUUUAGCACUGUUAAAAUAAGAUGGUACCAAUGAUCAUUGCAAAGUCAUUGUAAAAGUCCAUUGAAUUACCAAAAUGCUUCAACAUUUUGAAUAGUUCAUCAUUUCCUGGUGAAAAAAAAAGAAGCCUACUCUUUAUAGAGAACUUGAUAUCGUAGGUCAUUUACAGAAUAAGUACUGUAAUAUAUUUCCAGGCCUUUAAAAGGGGUUAAAAAAAUAAUCCAGGAUUUUUAAUAUAUUUCUUCUUUAAUUGGUGAUUUUCCAAGCUUCAUUUUCAUUAAGAAUGACUUGCUAUAGAUAAACUUAAUAAAGCAAAACCACCUGCUAGAUGUAUGAAUCAUGAAUAAUAAGUUGUAAAAAUGGGAGAAAUUUUACAGUAAGAAAAGUUAUUUCCUAGUGGGUCUUAAGGUACUUUGUAAUAAGAACUUUCAGAUCAAUUUAAAUGUGAUAUAAAAAAGAUAAAGUUUGUAACUUAUAAGGUUUUUAAAUCUUGUAUGUCUAUUAAUAACAAUGUUAGUUUUAAACUUUAUUUUUUUCUGUUCUUCAAUGCUAAAGUUAUGUCUAGGUAGCCAUAUUUAAACACGUGUUGUCAAUGAACUUUAAAAAAAUCUUUGUUUUUUUUUGAGAUGUUCAUAGUAAUAACAAAUUAAUUUUCACUAGAUAUUGAAAAGGUGAUUUAUGUGAUUAAUUAGUGAGAUUUCUCUGCUACUUGUCGCUUUCCAAUGGAUCAUGUUAACAUUAAGUGUUUAGCAAAUUGCAUAUGUCACAAAGGCAGACUUGUUAAAACUACUAGUGUACCAUAGGAUAAUGUUUUGCAUGUCUGCUACUUUCCGUUUUUCUUCUGAGUAUCCACAACUUACUCUACCAGCUUUGUCACCUUAGAUAUAAAUAUAUUCACCAGAUGGCAGCAUUGCUACCAAUGCUGAAAAUGGCUAGUGUGCAGAAAAUAAGAACUGGAUCUUGCUGUAUGUAGUAGGUUGACAUUGACAAAGAUAUCAGCAUGAUGCAAUCUUACCCAGUGUCUUUUAGGGUGCCAUUCAUAGUUAAUACUUCUAAGUCAGAUUAUAACUGUGAAGGUUUUCAACCCAAAUUGUUAAUUUGUUGAUAUUUUGCCCCUCUCUCUUUAAUAUUCCGAAGGUUCAACAACAUAAGGCAGUGAACUACAAUUGUCUUUAGGUAUUCGUGUAUUGGAUCCAAGAUACAAUAUAAUUUAGAGUAUUUUUUAUAAUACCAAAACAACAUAAAAGAAACAUAACAUACUGUAUGGAAAAGUAGAUGUUUCUGUAGUCACUUAGCAACAGCUAUAUACAUUUGUUUAAGAACUGUACAAAUCAAAUAUGGUUAUUCCUUUGCAAUGUAUUGCACGUUAUUAUGUGUGUUUAUCCACUAGUAACGUGUUGCAUCACACCUACGUGUAAAUUUAUUUUUUUGUGAAGUGUCACACCACACAAUAACAAGUAUGCUUAUUCACUUGUAAUGUGUUACACGCCACAUCAAGAUAUAUGUUUAUCCCUUUGUGUUGUGUCGCAACCACAAUUUACAUGUAUGUUGAUCUACUUGUAAUGUGUUACAUACCACCAGUUUUAUUGAUCUGCGUAUAAUGUGUCACACAUCACAUCAUCAUUUGUGUUCAUUCAGUUGCUAAGUGUUAUAAAGACAAUGUGUACAUUUAUAUAUGUAAAAAAAAAAACUGAAGCCAAAAAACAACAAUUAUCUGACUAAUUAAGUAUUUUACAUGUACUGGUAUGAAGGUUUACUUCUUCACAGUAACAACCACAAACUAAUUUGCAGGAAAACAUUUAUCCUUGGGUAAUACUAUGCUGCAACAAGUGCCGCCACCACCAGCUGAUGGUAUAUUCCUUUUACAAUGCUACAUAAUAAAUACAAGUACUACUAUAGUACAAAGAAUAUACAUAUAUUUUUAAUUGCUACAUAUACUCCUUUAUAGUGCUUAAUGAGUGCAAGUACUUUCAUGAGUGCAAGUACACAAACUUGUCUUUUUAUAGUACUUUUGUGCAGUAACAAGUACACGGUUACUAUUUUACAGUGCUACAUAGUACUGAGUAAUAUAACAAAUGUAUCUCUUCAUGGUGCCACUAUUAUGUAGCUGCAAACAUUUACCCAGUGUUGCAUAUGUACAUCAGUAUUAAGUAGCAAAAUGUAUAUGUUAUCGUAGUGCUACAAAGUAACAAUUAUAUAUAUAUAUAGAGAGAGAGAGUUCAAAUUUGUUGGGACAAAAAAUAUAACUGAAAAACCGCCUAUGAAACCAGCUUUUGGGUCCUUGUAACACCAACUGUUAGAUCUUACCUUGUUAAGUAUGAUCUU